rnacentral:rRNA from 1 species
ACCCGCUGAACUUAAGCAUAUCAAUAAGCGGAGGAAAAGAAACCAACCGGGAUUACCUCAGUAACGGCGAGUGAAGCGGUAACAGCUCAAAUUUGAAAUCUGGCCUCUCGGGGGUCCGAGUUGUAAUUUGUAGAGGAUGUUUCGGGCAAGGCUUGGGUUUAAAUUUCUUGGAACAGGAUGUCAUAGAGGGUGAGAAUCCCGUCUAGAACCGUCUGCCGCGUCCAUGUGAAACUCCUUCGACGAGUCGAGUUGUUUGGGAAUGCAGCUCAAAAUGGGUGGUAAAUUUCAUCUAAAGCUAAAUAUUGGCCAGAGACCGAUAGCGCACAAGUAGAGUGAUCGAAAGAUGAAAAGCACUUUGAAAAGAGAGUUAAACAGUAUGUGAAAUUGUUGAAAGGGAAGCGCUUGCAACCAGACUUGUGUGUAAUGGUUCCCCCGGUCUUCUGACCGGAAUAUUCCGUUAUAUCCAGGCCAGCAUCGGUUUGGGUGGUCGGUUAAAGACCCUGGGAAUGUAUCUCACCUUCGGGUGAGACUUAUAGCCCAAGGUGUAAUGCGGCCUACCCGGACCGAGGAACGCGCUUUUUGCUCGGAUGCUGGCGUAAUGGUUGUAAGCGACCCGUCUUGAAACACGG